UAGUCUACGCCGUAAACGAUGGAUACUAGUUGUUUGGAUUUCGAUCUGAGUGACUAAGCGAAAGUGAUAAGUAUCCCACCUGGGGAGUACGUUCGCAAGAAUGAAACUCAAAGGAAUUGACGGGGGCCCGCACAAGCGGUGGAGCAUGUGGUUUAAUUCGAUGAUACGCGAGGAACCUUACCAGGGCUUAAAUGCAGUCUGACAGCUUUAGAGAUAGAGUUUUCUUCGGACAGAUUGCAAGGUGCUGCAUGGUUGUCGUCAGCUCGUGCCGUGAGGUGUCAGGUUAAGUCCUAUAACGAGCGCAACCCCUGUUGUUAGUUGCCAGCGAGUAGUGUCGGGAACUCUAGCAAGACUGCCGGUGCAAACCGCGAGGAAGGUGGGGAUGACGUCAAAUCAUCACGGCCCUUACGUCCUGGGCCACACACGUGCUACAAUGGUAGAUACAAUGAGCAGCCACUGGGUGACCAGGCGCGAAUCUUAAAAAUCUAUCUCAGUUCGGA
rnacentral:rRNA from 1 species